rnacentral:rRNA from 1 species
AGUCGAGCGGUAGAGAGGUGCUUGCACCUCUUGAGAGCGGCGGACGGGUGAGUAAAGCCUAGGAAUCUGCCUGGUAGUGGGGGAUAACGCUCGGAAACGGACGCUAAUACCGCAUACGUCCUACGGGAGAAAGCAGGGGACCUUCGGGCCUUGCGCUAUCAGAUGAGCCUAGGUCGGAUUAGCUAGUUGGUGAGGUAAUGGCUCACCAAGGCGACGAUCCGUAACUGGUCUGAGAGGAUGAUCAGUCACACUGGAACUGAGACACGGUCCAGACUCCUACGGGAGGCAGCAGUGGGGAAUAUUGGACAAUGGGCGAAAGCCUGAUCCAGCCAUGCCGCGUGUGUGAAGAAGGUCUUCGGAUUGUAAAGCACUUUAAGUUGGGAGGAAGGGCAUUAACCUAAUACGUUAGUGUUUUGACGUUACCGACAGAAUAAGCACCGGCUAACUCUGUGCCAGCAGCCGCGGUAAUACAGAGGGUGCAAGCGUUAAUCGGAAUUACUGGGCGUAAUGCGCGCGUAGGUGGUUCGUUAAGUUGGAUGUGAAAUCCCCGGGCUCAACCUGGGAACUGCAUUCAAAACUGUCGAGCUAGAGUAUGGUAGAGGGUGGUG